GACGAACGCUGGCGGCGUGCCUAAUACAUGCAAGUAGAACGCUGAAGGAGGAGCUUGCUUCUCUGGAUGAGUUGCGAACGGGUGAGUAACGCGUAGGUAACCUGCCUGGUAGCGGGGGAUAACUAUUGGAAACGAUAGCUAAUACCGCAUAAGAGUAGAUGUCGCAUGACAUUUGCUUAAAAGGUGCAAUUGCAUCACUACCAGAUGGACCUGCGUUGUAUUAGCUAGUUGGUGAGGUAACGGCUCACCAAGGCAACGAUACAUAGCCGACCUGAGAGGGUGAUCGGCCACACUGGGACUGAGACACGGCCCAGACUCCUACGGGAGGCAGCAGUAGGGAAUCUUCGGCAAUGGACGGAAGUCUGACCGAGCAACGCCGCGUGAGUGAAGAAGGUUGUCGGAUCGUAAAGCUCUGUUGUAAGAGAAGAACGAGUGUGAGAGUGGAAAGUUCACACUGUGACGGUAUCUGACCAGAAAGGGACGGCUAACUACGUG
rnacentral:rRNA from 1 species